rnacentral:rRNA from 1 species
CCUACGGGCGGCAGCAGUGGGGAAUAUUGGACAAUGGGGGGAACCCUGAUCCAGCCAUGCCGCGUGUGUGAAGAAGGCCCUCGGGUUGUAAAGCACUUUCAGUGAGGAAGAACGCCUGGUGGUUAAUACCCAUCAGGAAAGACAUCACUCACAGAAGGAGCACCGGCUAACUCCGUGCCUGCAGCCGCGGUAAUACGGAGGGUGCGAGCGUUAAUCGGAAUUACUGGGCGUAAAGCGCGCGUAGGUGGCUUGAUAAGCCGGUUGUGAAAGCCCCGGGCUCAACCUGGGAACGGCAUCCGGAACUGUCAAGCUAGAGUGCAGGAGAGGAAGGUAGAAUUCCCGGUGUAGCGGUGAAAUGCGUAGAGAUCGGGAGGAAUACCAGUGGCGAAGGCGGCCUUCUGGACUGACACUGACACUGAGGUGCGAAAGCGUGGGUAGCAAACAGGAUUAGAUACCCUAGUAGUC